ensembl:ncRNA lncRNA:CR44256 long non-coding RNA:CR44256
CACAAACACACAUGCACGGACGGGCGCUCACACACAGCACACAUAAACAGCAGCUGCGUGAGUUGGUUGUUUGCCGCGAAAUAGGCAGCACAACAACAAUGGUAGCAACAUCGCAACAUGAACAUCAACGGUGGCAAAAUAUGUAUUAGCCCCCGAAGUUUACUAACAAAAUUAAUUAUGCGAAUUAAGCGCAGUAAAAGCACUUUAAGCAAUCCCCCCACCGCCCCUUCAUAACUUCGCAGCUCUCGACCACCGUCGACCAAAACACCCCCCUACCCCCCCAUCAUCAUCAACACCGCAGCAGCACCUCGCCCAGCAAAAGGCCCCACCAACCCCUCACCAGAUGCCAUCGGCACAUAAUAUGUGCCUCAUUCUGUGCCGUGUCAUGGAACUACACUGUUACAAUCUGAUAGUUUUACAGGAUUAUGUAAAUAGUUUUACUAAGUAAUGUACUUAUUAAUAAAGUAUUUCAAUAUUGUGCAUUUUG